GACGAACCGUGCGAACGUUGUUCGGAUUCACUGGGUUUAAAGGGUGCGUAGGCGGGCAGGUAAGUCCGUGGUGAAAUCUCUGAGCUUAACUCAGAAACUGCCAUGGAUACUAUUUGUCUUGAAUAUUGUGGAGGUAAGCGGAAUAUGUCAUGUAGCGGUGAAAUGCUUAGAUAUGACAUAGAACACCAAUUGCGAAGGCAGCUUACUACACAGUUAUUGACGCUGAGGCACGAAAGCGUGGGGAUCAAACAGG
rnacentral:rRNA from 1 species